CAUCACUGUCCUGGUAUUUAUGGACCAUUCCUCAUCCCAGGAAAUUCCUCUCUGGCCACACCCCCCGAGGCUCUGGUCACCACCCUUCACCUUCUCAGGGCUCUCCCUCCCUAGACCCUGCCCACAUCUCCCUUCUGCUCUGUUCCUGGACCCCUCGCCUUCUUUUUCUAUGGACUGCUAGAAAUGCAAGAUUCUGUCACAUCACACUAAAGUGCAGCACCAAGAAGUCCUCUCUUAUUUCACCAUCAUUCAUCCGGGCUCUGCUGGGGGAGGCACCCCAUUUUGGAAACAAAAUGUCCAUCAAGGCAUUUUUCUAGACAAUAGAACCUUCGAAUCCCUGCGAUUAAUUUUGCCGUACCUCUAGAAAGCUGAAAGUCUGCAGCCAGCUUUUCUUUAAAAUAGUCAUAACAUCCCUUCCUGCUCUGCCCUACUGACGUCAAAGCUUUUAGUGAAAUCUUUUCCUUGGUCUUCUCUCCUGCCACAGGAAAGAGAAGAGGAUGGGAGCAGAGCUGAGAUGGAUGCUAGAUAAACAGCCAGGAGUGUCCAAUUCUAAGGGUCCAAGUUAGAACCCAAGGAUGUCCCUUCUAGAAGCUUCCAGAUGAUUCAUGAACCACACUCGGAGAAUCUUGGCCCACUCCAUGCUGCAUGUGUCAGCAAGUUCCCUGAAAGCACUUUUGCAGAGCUUCUUUGCGACAUCUGAAGUGACAGGCAGAUCCAACUUUGGGCAAAGGGCCAAGAAGUCACACUCCAGGAGGCAGGAGCAGGGUAGAAUCAAGUUGUCAUCAGUCGUCAGCUUGUCCUUCAUUCUGGAGUAACAAGACAUCGGGGAUUGGGGCUUUUUCCUUUGGUUUUAAAUAAGAAAAUGAUCUCUUCUCAUGUCCUAAUAGAGAGAAGGACAAUAAAAAAAAAAGGAGGGUGUUUCCUCCA
rnacentral:lncRNA from 1 species